AGCAGCUCUGAGGUCCUGUUUGACCGAACUGCUGAGUCCUGCUCUUCUUGCCAGUCUUUUUCCAGCCAGUCCUCCCUGUGGACCCUAAUGCCUGCUCGUCCAUCUUUCCCUUGAUGCUCACAACGUGCACCUACCCUCAGACCAACACCAGGGAACUCUGAGCAAACUACUGUCGUUAUCCUGUUUUCAGAUGAGAAAGGCACAGAGGAGCUACCCAAGUUGCCUGAAGUUACACUUGUAAAAACCCAGAAGACAGCAAGUCCCAGCCUUGCCCUGGAUUCCUUUGCAGUUUGGUGUUUUCUCAAGUGGGGAUUUAGACCCUAUGACUUCAAACAAUAAUGAUUAUCUUUUAUGAGUCUUGGCAAUUACUGAAGCAUUUAUCCAGUGGAUUAUCUCUAGUAGUCUUGACAUAAAUCCUGAUAAAGGAGCUACUCUCCCUAAUUUGUGGAUAAAGAUUUUGAGAUGAAUGUAUGUCUUAUGUCCCCUGGAAAAAUUCAAUCCCUUCACUUUGAUCUCAGGACUCCUGUCUCCUAAAAUAAAGUUUUCACAAUUUCUCAGGAUAUGUAUUCACUUACCCCACAGCCUUUGAAAAUGCCCUACUCCGGGCCAGUCCUUUGCUUGGAAAACAAAAGUGAACACUUAAUGGGGUCACUAAAGGCUCAAGGAGGGUGAUAGCCACGUAAAUAAAUCCUUUCUAUCCAAAGUGACCUAUGUGAGAAAGGAGUUGGGCCCAAGGUCAGGUAGGACCAGGUCAAAGGAAAGUAUCGGAAAAGGGGAGGUGCUUGAGCAGGAUUUUGAGGGGUCCAUAGGAGUUGUCUAGGUAGAUGAAAGUUUCACGAAAGGAAAAAUCCAAUCUUGUGCUAAUGCCUACAAAAUAGCUUUCUGCUCAGGUUUUCUUAUGGCCACUGUUAGUUCUUUCUGGCAGUACAGACCUCAUUAACUGAAGUAGGAAUGCAGUACGUGUGAGAGCUGUGUCCUCAUCCGGUUCUUUCAUCAGGUUCAGUGACUUUUUUUUUUUAACCACUGGAUUGACUUGCUCUAUCAACAUCAAAAAGAAAACAGUCUUAGUCACUCUUGUGUCCUUGAGUAAUU